GAGAAGUAAAAGUCGUAACAAGGUCUCCGUUGGUGAACCAGCGGAGGGAUCAUUA
rnacentral:rRNA from 1 species